ensembl:lncRNA
CUAUAUCCCGGCUGUCUUUUUACGACGGUGGCAGGUUGAAGGAGGGGGGGGAGCAGCGAGCAGCAUGGCAGUCUCUGGCAAAGCGUUGACCACAAGAACCAGCAAGGCCAAAACAAAGCGCUGAAUGGCGGGCGCUGACUUCAGCGUGUCUGCCCCCUCUGAUCCACACAAGGUUGCACUGUGUGUGUUCGGCCUCCGAGAACGAAAGGGGCGGCCACGGCGCACAAUCACCACUAAGCACAUACUUUGCUGCCCCACAAUCCCCCACCAGGCCAGACACAAACCCAGGGGCUGUAUGUUUAUCAAAGCGCCUCAGGAUGCUGCCAUGGAGACAGUGCUCUUAUAUCUGUGGGGCUUCCACCUACUGUAUACCGCCAGAACAACCACACACGCGUUCACACAAACUGCAAAGAAUUCCUCCAUGCUUCACCCAAUCGCUGCAAACCCAAGCAGCGUUUGACCACAAUGAACCAUUUUAAAUUGCACCAGCAUCUUGCACUAGAGGCAGGCAUAAACGAGCAUCCAGCCUGCGUAUUCCAGGA